GACGAACGCUGGCGGCGUGCUUAACACAUGCAAGUCGAACGGAAAGGCCCCUUUGGGGGUACUCGAGUGGCGAACGGGUGAGUAACACGUGAGUAACCUGCCCUUGACUUCGGGAUAACUUCAGGAAACUGGGGCUGAUACCGGAUAGGAAUCCUUGCUGCAUGGUGGGGGUUGGAAAGCUUCGGCGGUUUUGGAUGGACUCGCGGCUUAUCAGCUUGUUGGUGGGGUAGUGGCUUACCAAGGCUUUGACGGGUAGCCGGCCUGAGAGGGCGACCGGCCACAUUGGGACUGAGAGACGGCACAGACUCCUACGGGAGGCAGCAGUGGGGAAUAUUGCACAAUGGGCGGAAGCCGGAUGCAGCAACGCCGCGUGCGGGAUGACGGCCUUCGGGUUGUAAACCGCUUUCAGCAGGGGCGAAGCUUGUGGUGACGGUACCUGCAGAAGAAGCACCGGCUAACUACGUG
rnacentral:rRNA from 1 species